UUAGGGAGACCUACACCCCUUACAUAUCGAAAAACAUACAGUUAAAUAGAUAGUAAGUUGGGUCUAACCUAGGUCGGUCGCAGAUACUUGCAAUAUGUUAAAAGCUUUCAAACUAUGAUGAAGGUUCGAAAUGGGCUAUUAGCUCAGGUGGUUAGAGCGCACCCCUGAUAAGGGUGAGGUCCCUGGUUGGAGUCCAGGAUGGCCCACCUGAAUCAAUUAAAAAUGUAAAAUGCAAAAUUAAAAAUGAAGAGAAUUCAAUUUUUAAUUUUUAAUUAUCAAUUUUUAAUUGUAUCUGGGGGUUUAGAUCAGUUGGUAGAGCGCNUGCUUUGCAAGCAGGAUGUCAGCGGUUGGAGUCCGCUAACCUCCACCUGUGGCAAUUGCCAUUGAAAAAAUAUAAAUAUAUUGAAUUGAUUGAGAGUUCAGCAACAUGACUUAAUUGGAGUCAGACUGCUGAGAUUAUUCUCAGCCAGAACCUUGAAAACUGCAUAGUAACGCGAAAAUAGCAGGCAGACACAGAUAAUCUUUACAGAUGUUUUUGUGAAUGCGAAUUGUGAAAGACCAAAAAUUGAGUGUCUAGCGAAU
rnacentral:misc_RNA from 1 species